GCUGCGUCUCUGUCGCGGUUGACGAGUCAUUGUUUUUCAAGGUCAAAGUUGAAGAGGGAACGCGAGAGAUGCGUCUUGUGAAUGUUACUUGGGAGGGAACAGAUACACACACGCGGCCAACCCGUACCCGGUCGAGCCUAAGUGGAAGCGUGCCGCGAUCCGUUCGACUCCAUUCUGCUUGGUGAUUUGAGCAGACCGCGCCUGACUGAAAGCGCAAAGCCAGACGAAUGCCACGGGCUGUCGCGGUUGACGCGUCAUUGUUUUUCAACGGCAAAAUUGAAGAGCGAACGCAAGAGACGCGUCUCGUGAAUGUUACUUGGGAGGGAACGGAUACACACACGUGGCCAACCCGUACCCGGUCGAGCCUAAGUGGAAGCGUGCCGCGAUCCGUUCGAAUCCAUUCUGCUUGGUGAUUUGAGCAGACCGCGCCUGACUGAAAGC